rnacentral:rRNA from 1 species
CGCGAAUUCGCCCUUCGGGGUGCAGCAGGCGCGAAAACUUUGCAAUACACGAAAGUGUGACAGGGCUAUCCCGAGUGCCAUCCGCUGAGGAAGGCUUUUACCCAGUCUAGAACGCGGGGGGAAUAAGGAGAGGGCAAGUCUGGUGUCAGCCGCCGCGGUAAUACCAGCUCUCCGAGUGGUGUGGAUGUUUAUUGGGCCUAAAGCAUCCGUAGCUGGCUAAGUUAGUCCCUUGUUAAAUCCACCGAAUUAAUCGUUGGAUUGCGGGGGAUACUGCUUGGCUAGGGGACGAGAGAGGCAGACGGUAUUUCCGGGGUAGGGGUGAAAUCCUAUAAUCCCGGGAAGACCACCAGUGGCGAAGGCUGUCUGCUAGAACGCGCCCGACGGUGAGGGAUGAAAGCUGGGGGAGCGAACCGGAUUAGAUACCCGGGUAGUCCCAGCUGUAAACGAUGCAGGCUAGGUGUUUGGACGGCCACGUGCCGUUCUAGUGCCGCAGGGAAGCUGUUAAGCCUGCCGCCUGGGGAGUACGAUCGCAAGAUUGAAACUUAAAGGAAUUGGCGGGGGAGCAC